CGCUUCACUGACACCUGGAAGGAUGAGAAGGAGCACUGUAUCACCAUCAAGUCAACUGCUAUCUCCCUCUUCUAUGAGCUUUCUGAGAAUGACUUGAACUUUAUCAAGCAGAGCAAGGAUGGCUCUGGCUUCCUUAUUAACCUCACUGACUAUUCUGGGCACGUGGACUUCUCCUCAGAGGUGAUGGCUGCCCUGCGUGUCACUGAUGGGGCCUUGGUGGUGGUGGACUGCCUGUCAGGUGUGUGUGUACAGAGAGAGACAGUGCUGUGGCAGGCUAUUGCCGAGCAUAUCAAACCCAUGCUCAUGAUGAACAAGAUGGACUGGGCCCUGCUGGAGUUGCCUUUGGAGCCCGAGGAGCUGUACCAGACCUUCCAGCGCAUAGUGGAGAAUGUCAACGUCAUCAUCUCCAACUAUGGGGAGAGCGAGAGUGGUCCCAUGGGCACCAUCAUGAUUGACCCUGUCCUUGGUACUGUGGGCUUUGGGUCUGGCCUGCAUGGCUGGGCCUUCACCCUAAAGCAGUUUGCAGAAAUGUACGUGGCCAAGUUCGCUGCCAAGAGCAAGGGCCAGUUGGGGCCUGCUGAGUGGGCCAAGAAGGUGGAAGACAUGAUGAAGAAGCUGUGGGGUGACCAGUACUUCGAUCCAGCCAACGGCAAGUUUAGCAAGUCAGCCACCAGCCCUGAUGGAAAGAAGCUGCCCCGUACUUUCUGCCAGCUCAUCCUGGACCCCAUCUUCAAGGUGUUUGAUGCAAUCAUGAACUUCAAGAAAGAGGAGAUGGCAAAUCUGAUCGAGAAGCUGGACAUUAAGCUGGACAGCGAGGACAAAGACAAAGAGGGCAAGCCACUGCUCAAGGCUGUGAUGUGCCUCUGGCUGCCAGCUGGGGACGCACUGCUGCAGAUGAUCAUGAUCCACUUGCCGUCGCCCGUUACAGCACAGAAGUCCCGUUGCGAGCUGCUAUAUGAGGGGCCCCCAGAUGAUGAGGCCUCCAUGGGCAUUAAAAGCUGUGAUCCUAAAGGAUGUACAUUUCCAAAAUGGUGCCAACCUCCAAUAAAGAUCGGUUCUAUGCCUUUGGACGCGUCUUCUCAGGGCUGGUGUCCACCGGCCUGAAAGUCCGGAUUAUGGGUCUUAACUACACCCCUGGGAAGAAGGAGGACCUUUACCUGAAGCCCAUCCAGAGGACCAUCCUGAUGAUGGGCCGCUAUGUGGAGCCCAUUGAGGACGUGUCUUGUGGGAACAUCGUGGGACUGGUGGGUGUGGACCAGUUCCUAGUGAAGACUGGUACCAUCACCACUUUUGAGCAAGCCCACAACAUGCGUGUGAUGAAGUUCAGCGUCAGCCCUGUGGUCACAGUGGCUGUGGAGACCAAGAACCCAGCUGACCUUCCCAAGCUGGUGGAGGGGCUGACGCGGCUGGCUAAGUCCGACCUUCUGGUGCAGUGCAUCAUUGAGGAGUCAGGAGAGCACAUCAUCGCAGGCGCUUGUGAGCUGCGCCUGGAGAUCUGCUUCAAGGACCUGGAGGAGGACCACGCCUGCAUCCCCAUCAAGAAAUCGGACCUCGUGGUCUCGUACCGGGAGACAGUGAGGAAGGAGUCGAGCAUGAUAUGCCUCUCCAAGUCCCUCCACAAGCACAACCGCCUGUACAUGAAGGCGCAACCCUUCCCAGACGGCCUGGCUGAGGACAUUGACAAGGGUGAGGUGUCUGCCCGCCAGGAGCUAAAGCAGCAUUCCCGUUACCUGGCUGAGAAAUAUGAGUGGGACGUGGCAGAAGCCCGCAAGAUCUGGUGCUUUGGCCCUGACGGCACUGGCCCCAACAUCCUCACUGACAUCACCAAGGGCGUGCAGUACCUCAAUGAGAUCAAGGAUAGUGUGGUGGCCAGCUUCCAGUGGGCCACCAAGGAGGGGCACUAUGUGAGGAAAAUAUGCGUGGAGUGAGCUUUGAUGUCCAUGACGUGACCCUGCAUGCCGAUGCCAUCCACCACGGGGGUGGUCAGAUCAUCCCCACGGCGUGGCGCUGCCUGUACGCCAGUGUGCUGACAGCACAGCCGUGCCUCAUGGAGCCUAUCUACCUUGUGGAGAUCCAGUGUCCAGAGCAAGUGGUUGGGGGCAUCUAUGGUAUUCUGAACAGGAAGCGAGGCCAUGUCUUUGAGGAGUCCCAGGUGUCUGGCACCCCCGUGUUCAUGGUGAAGGCUUACCUGCCCGUCAAUGAGUCCUUGGCUUCUCGGCCAACCUGCGAUCCAACACGGGUGGCCAGGCCUUCCCCCAGUGUGUGUUCGACCCCUGGCAGAUCCUGCCCGGUGACACCUUUGAAAAGAGCAGCCGCCCAAGCCAGGUGGUGGCAGAGACCCGCAAGCGCAAGGGCCUGAAGGAGGGCAUCCCAGCCUUGGACAACUUCCUGGACAAGUUGUAGGCAGGUGGCAUCACUCCAGCUCCACCACGGCAGCACGUCCUCACUCAAAUGACACCUUGAGACUGUCCCUACACAGUAACCUCUGCCUGACGAGUUUUUGGGCCUGCUCCAAGCAAUCGUGCCAUUCACACUUGAUGCGGUUUCUAUUUAUUUUGGGUUUCAGAGCAGCAGAAAUGCCCUCUCUGCAGGGACUUUUGGGCCAGUGGGUUGGAAGGUAUGGCAGGACACCUAGUGUUUUUCAUUGUUCAGAGGGAACCACAACUUGAUGCCCUAAAAUUUAAAACAAAUAUAUU